AGUCCCAUUCAUUUGGGACUUUAGGAUUUAACUAAUUGAAUUUAUUUCAAACCCAAUCCAAUUAGAUUCAAAUAAAAUAUAAUAAAUUUAAUCUAAUUAGGCUCCAAUAAUCUCAAUUAAAUUUGAUCAAAUCUAUAAAUUAAUUGAGCCAUAGAUCCGAUCAAAUCAGGAUCAUUUCUUCCUUAUUGAUUAGGUCAUCUCAUAACCUAAUGAGAUCUGAUCUGAUUGAAUCUAAUUCAAUCAGACUUGAUUCAGAUUUUAAUGCUCAAUCAAAUUGAGUUAAAUAGUGAUCUAAUCACUAAUUAAUCCUUCAUUAAUAAUAGAGUCUCAGUUCAGUGAGACUCUUCA
rnacentral:lncRNA from 1 species